rnacentral:rRNA from 1 species
GACGAACGCUGGCGGCGUGCUUAACACAUGCAAGUCGAACGGAAAGGCCCUGCUUGCAGGGUACUCGAGUGGCGAACGGGUGAGUAACACGUGGGUGAUCUGCCCUGCACUUCGGGAUAAGCCUGGGAGACUGGGUCUAAUACCGGAUAGGAGCCAUUUUUAGUGUGAUGGUUGGAAAGUUUUUUCGGUGUAGGAUGAGCUCGCGGCCUAUCAGCUUGUUGGUGGGGUAAUGGCCUACCAAGGCGGCGACGGGUAGCCGGCCUGAGAGGGUGGACGGCCACAUUGGGACUGAGAUACGGCCCAGACGCCUACGGGAGGCAGCAGUGGGGAAUAUUGCACAAUGGGCGCAAGCCUGAUGCAGCGACGCCGCGUGGGGGAUGACGGCCUUCGGGUUGUAAACUCCUUUCGCUAGGGACGAAGCUUUUUGUGACGGUACCUAGAGAAGAAGCACCGGCUAACUACGUG